CCUGACCAUCAUUAGAAAGAUACAACUAAAAUAAUAUAUUAUGAAUGAUAAUUUCGACAGCCAAAUGAUCACCAGGCAUAUGGCACCUCCAAUGAUCAUCUAAACUAUUGAACUCAUUAUCAUCCAACUUAAUGGGAGGCUAUGAUCUAGUUAUCAUGAUAACUAUUUCAUUUUAGGGACCUAACAAUUUUAGAAGAUUUAAUUAGUUAAAUUUAGAGAUGAGAUGAGACUUGAUCUGUUAAUCUUAAUCCUCCCACUGACUUCACCAAGUCAGAUUUAAGAAGAUCAGGCAUAAGCUGGUCCAGCCAACCAGUCAU
rnacentral:lncRNA from 1 species